rnacentral:rRNA from 1 species
UACGUAGGUGGCGAGCGUUGUCCGGAUUUACUGGGCGUAAAGAGCGCGCAGGCGGUCGUUCAAGUCGCGUGUGAAAGCCCCCGGCUCAACUGGGGAGGGUCACGCGAUACUGAUCGACUCGAAGGCAGGAGAGGGUAGUGGAAUUCCCGGUGUGGCGGUGAAAUGCGCAGAGAUCGGGAGGAACACCCGUAGCGAAGGCGGCACUCUGGGCCGGUACUGACGCUGAGGAGCGAAAGCGUGGGGAGCAAACAGG